rnacentral:rRNA from 1 species
UACGGAGGGAGCUAGCGUUGUUCGGAAUUACUGGGCGUAAAGCGCGCGUAGGCGGCUUUGUAAGUUAGAGGUGAAAGCCCGGGGCUCAACCCCGGAAUUGCCUUUAAGACUGCAUCGCUUGAAUCCGGGAGAGGUGAGUGGAAUUCCGAGUGUAGAGGUGAAAUUCGUAGAUAUUCGGAAGAACACCAGGUGGCGAAGGCGGCUCACUGGACCGGGCAUUGACGCUGAGGUGACGAAAGCGUGGGGAGCAAACAGGG